rnacentral:rRNA from 1 species
GAGUUUGAUCAUGGCUCAGGAUGAACGCUAGCGGCAGGCCUCAUACAUGCAAGUCGAGGGGCAGCAGGACACUUCGGUGUUGCUGGCGACCGGCGCACGGGUGCGUAACACGUAUGCAAUCUGCCUUGUACUGGAGCAUAGCCCUCGAAAACGAAGAUUAAUACUCCAUACAGUCUUACUAGCGCAUGCUAGUAAGAUGAAAGCUCCGGCGGUACAAGAUGAGCAUGCAUCCCAUUAGCUUGUUGGUGAGAUAACAGCUCACCAAGGCUACGAUGGGUAGGGGUUCUGAGAGGAAGAUCCCCCACACUGGCACUGAGAUACGGGCCAGACUCCUACGGGAGGCAGCAGUAGGGAAUAUUGGUCAAUGGGCGCAAGCCUGAACCAGCCAUGCCGCGUGCAGGAUGAAGGCCUUCAGGGUUGUAAACUGCUUUUGUAUGGGAAUAAAAAAGUCCUUGCGAGGACUCUUGAAGGUACCAUAAGAAUAAGCACCGGCUAACUCCGUGCCAGCAGCCGCGGUAAUACGGAGGGUGCAAGCGUUAUCCGGAUUUACUGGGUUUAAAGAGUGCGUAGGCGGCUUCUUAAGUCAGUGGUGAAAGCUUAGCGCUUAACGCUAGAAGUGCCACUGAUACUGGGAAGCUUGAGUCAAGAAGAGGUAAGCAGAAUUCAUAGUGUAGCAGUGAAAUGCUUAGAUACUAUGAGGAAUACCAACAGCGAAGGCAGCUUACUGGUCUUGUACUGACGUUGAGGCACGAAAGCGUGGGUAGCGAACAGGAUUAGAUACCCUGGUAGUCCACGCCGUAAACGAUGAUCACUCGAUGUACACGCUAGUCGUGUGUGUCUAAGCAAAAGCAUUAAGUGAUCCACCUGGGGAGUACGCUCGCAAGAGCGAAACUCAAAGGAAUUGACGGGAGUCCGCACAAGCGGUGGAGCAUGUGGUUUAAUUCGAUAAU